UACAGAGGUGGCAAGCGUUGUUCGGAAUUACUGGGCGUAAAGGGCGCGUAGGCGGUUCGUUAAGUCCUGUGUGAAAUCCCUCGGCCUAACCGGGGAACUGCGUUUGAUACUGUCCAGCUCGAGUCCGGGAGAGGGUAGUGGAAUUCCCAGUGUAGCGGUGAAAUGCGUAGAUAUUGGGAGGAACACCGGUGGCGAAGGCGGCUACCUGGACCGGUACUGACGCUGAGGCGCGAAAGCUAGGGUAGCAAACAGG
rnacentral:rRNA from 1 species